GUUGGUGCUUUUAACGAUGAGGGUCCACCUGUUCCCAUUCCGAACACAGAAGUUAAGCUCAUCAGUGCCGAAAAUACUUGUCUGGCGACGGACUGGGAAGAUAGGUCAGUGCCAACU
rnacentral:rRNA from 1 species